rnacentral:rRNA from 1 species
GCUUGUCUCAAAGAUUAAGCCAUGCAUGUCUAAGUAUAAGCCUUUAUAUGGUGAGACUGCGAAUGGCUCAUUAAAUCAGAAACUGUUUAUUUGAUAGUGCCUACUACAUGGAUACCUGUAGUAAUUCUAGAGCUAAUACAUGCAAAAAGCCUGGACUUCUGGAACAGGCGUAUUUAUUAGAUAUACAAACCAACCCGGGCAACCGGUCCUUUGGUGAUUCAUGAUAACUUUGCGAAUCGCAUAGCUUUAAUGCUGGCGAUGGGUCAUUCAAAUUUCUGCCCUAUCAACUUUCGACGGUAGGAUAGAGGCCUACUGUGGUGAUAACGGGUAACGAAGAAUAAGGGUUCGAUUUCGGAGAGGGAGCCUGAGAAACGGCUACCACAUCCAAGGAAGGCAGCAGG